rnacentral:tRNA from 1 species
GUUUUUGGUACGAUGGUAAGCGCUUGAUCCUAACAAGUGGUAUUAUAGUCAAGGUCAUGGGUUUGAUUCCCAAGAGCAACA